rnacentral:lncRNA from 1 species
GGGUGUGCUUCGGCUUAGUGUUUUUUUAAAUUAAGUCCAGAGUUUGGGUCGGACACCCUUCCCCACCCUUACUGAAAUGUUGAUAAGAAAUGUUCUACGGCAAUACUUUUUUCGACACUAGUUUCAAUGGGAAGCUGAAUAGUUUAAGGUUUACCUGACAAUAAAUCAAUCCAGGGUGUGCUUCGCUUAGUUUUUUUUUAAAUUAGGUACAAAUUUGUGGUCGGACACCCUACCCCACCCUUACGGAAAUGUUGAUAAACAUUUUCUACGGCAAUACUCUUUUCGACAUUAGGUGCACUGUGAAGCUGAAUAGCUAAAGUUUAUUUGACAAAAAAUUCAGGGUGUGCUUCGGCUUAUUUUGUUUUAAAAUAAGUUCCAAAGUUUGGGUAGGACACCUUACCCCUAACUUACGGAAAUGUUAAUGAAAAUUGUUUUACGGCAACACUUUUUUCGUCACUAGGUGCAAUGGGAAGCGGAAUAGUUAAGAUUUACUUUAUAAUAAUUCAAGGGUGUGCUUCGGCAUAGUUUUUUUUUAAAAUUAAGUCCAAAGUUGGGGUCGGACACCCUACCCCACCCUUACGGAAAUGUUGAUAAACAUUUUCUACGGCAAUACUCUUUUCGACAUUAGGUGCAAUGGCAAGCUGAAUAGCUAAGGUUUACUUGACAUUAAUUUCUAGGUGUGCUUCGUCUUAUUUAUUUCAAAAUUAGGUCCAAAGUUUAGACGGACACCCUACCCCACCCUUAGAGAAAUGUUAAUUAAAAAGUUCAAUGGCAAUACUGUUUUCGCCAUUAUGUGCAAUGGGGAAGCUGAAUAGCUAAAGUUAACUUGACAAAAACUCCAGGGUGUGCUUCGGCUUUUUUUUCAAAUUAGGUCGAAAGUUUGGGUCGGACACCCUACCCCACACUUACAAAAAUGUUAAUAAAAAAUGUUCUACGGCAAUACCUUUUUCGCCACUAUGUUCAAUGGGAAGCUGAAUAGCUAAAGUUUACUUGACAAAAAAUUAAGGGUGUCCAUCGGUUUAUUGUUUUCAAAAAUUAGGUCCAAAGUUAGGGUCAGACAACUUAACCCCACCCUUACGGAAAUGUUAAUAAAAAUUGGUCUACGGCCAGUAGGUGCAAUGGGAAGCUGAAUAGCUAAGGUUUACUUGACAAUAAUUCCAGGGUGUGCUUCGGCUUAGUUUAUUUUUAAAUUAGGUCCAAAGUUGGGUUGGAGACCAUACCCCACCCUUACGGAAAUGUUAAUAAAAAAUGUUCUACGGCAAUACUCUUUUCGCCACUAGGUGCAAUGGGAAGCUGAAUAGCUAAGGUUUACUUGACAAUAAAUCAAGGGUGUGCUUCGGCUUAGCUUUUUUUUAUUAGGUCAAAAGUUGGGGUCGGACACCCUACUCCACCCUUACGGAAAUGUUAACAAAAAAUCUUCUACGGCAAUAUUUUUUUUCGCCACUAUAAGGCAAUGGGAAGCUAAAUAGCUAAAGUUUACUUGACAAAAAAUUCAGGGUGUGCUUCGGCUUAUUUUUUUGUUAAUUAGAUCCAAAGUUGGGGUCGGACACCCUACCCUUCCCUUACGGAAAUGUUAAUAAAAAAUGUUCUAUGGCAAUACGUUUUUCGCCAGUAGGUGCAAUGGGAAGCUGAAUAGCUAAGGUUUACUUGUCAUUUAUUCAAGGGGUGUGCUUCCGCUUAUUUUUUUUUAAAUCAGGUCCAAAGUUGGGGUUGGACACCCUAUUCCACCCUAACAGAAAUGUCAAUAAAAAAUGUUCUACGGCAAUACUUUUUUCGCCACUAAGUUAUAUGGGUAGCUGAAUAGCUAAAGUUUACUUGACAAAAUAUCCAGGGUGUGCUCCGGCUUCUUUUUUUAUAAAUUGGGUCCAAAGUUGGGGUCGGACACCUCUCCUCACCAUUACGGAAAUGUCAAUAAAAAAUAUUCUACGGCAAUACUUUUUUCGCCACUUGGUGCAAUGGGAAGCUGGAUAGCUAAGGUUUACUUGACAAUAAAUCAAGGGUGUAAUUCGGAUUAGUUUUCUUUUAAAUUAGGUCCAAAGUUGGGGUCGGACACCUUACCCCACCCUUACGGAAAUGUAAAUAAAAAAUGUUUUACGGCAAUACUUUUUUCGCCACUAGGUGCAAUGAGAAGCUGAAUAGCUAAAGUUUACUUGACAAAAAAUACAGGGUGUGCUUCGGCUUAUUUUCUUUUUAAACUAAGUCCAAAGUUGGGGUCGGACACCCUACUCCACCCUUCCGGAAAUGUUAAUGAAAGAUGUUCUAGGGCAAUACUUUUUUCGUCACAUGGUGCAAUGGGAAGCUGAAUAGCUAAGGUUUACUUGACACUAAAUCCAAGGUGUGCUUGGCUUAUUUUUAUGAGAUAAAGCCUUUUUUUCGAAAGGAUUGUUAAUAUAUGUGUUUGUCUUUUGUUUGGUUCUUGUUUUUUUUUGUAGUGGCAUUGUCGGUUCCUUUUAGACUUAUGAGUUUGAAUUUUCAUUUUGUAUCUUAUUCCUCUCUGUUUCGUUUCUGAUAAAUUGAUUUUUUUUAUUGUUUUAUCUAUCAAGUUUGUAAACCGCCGUGCAUCGUUUAAAUCGUGUAAAUGACUUACCUCAAAUUUGGAACCUAUAAUCGUGUUGUCGACGAUAUAAGUAUCUGUAGAUAUUAACUGUUUAAUUUUAACUACUUUUUCAAGCAUAUCAUUUACUUUGAGCAAUUUACACUUUUCGGCUAAAAGAUACUAUAUGUGACAAUAUUAAGAAGCCGUUAUGUGCAUCGUUAAUUUACAGUAUCAAACUACAGAAGGUCAUAUUUCUACAUAAUUGUAAAUAUAAAUUGUUGAGGAUUUUAUUUAUCAACCCAUCUUUUCUGAAUGCACAAUCAUAGUCGGAAAAGCCGGUCAGAACAUAAAUAGGUACAAAAAAACUAAACACUCUUUGAAAAUCGCCUUUGUCUGUGUGUUUUUUUUUCAGUAUUUCAGUUGCUUCUUUGAAGCUUUUAGUUUACCACCCGCUGUAAGUAUGGAAAACACUAUCUGUUCGUUUUUCCAGUUUUUAUCAGAUUGACAGUGGAUUAAAAGAUACACAACAGGUAUAGUCUAAAUGUCUACAUCAUGACAGAUUUGCACUACAAAUCAAAGACGUAUUGCACAAUCUUCUUGAUUAUUAUAAUAGUGCUUUUCAACUGGAACAUAAUGAUUAGAAUUUCGACUUUUUUCUUAUUCAAAUGGGCGUUUCAGCAUUAAACGAUUGAUUUUUAUGUUACUGUAUUCCUGACAUGUCAUGUUGUCAUUUAAGUGGUAUAUUUAACAUUGCCAUAUAAGCCAAGUCAGGAAAAUGGAAGGUAGUUCGUUUCUGUGUGUGUUGCAUUGCCGUUUUUUUUUAUUGUACUUCAGUGUUUCUAUUGUUUCGUUGUUUUCCUCUUAUAGUUGAUAUGUAUCCCUCGGUUUUCGUUUGUAACCCUGAUUUGUUUUCUCUCAAUCGAUUAAUGACUUUUCAACAGCGGUAUACUACUCUUGCCUUUAUUUUACAUUGAUAAUCAAAUGCUAUACUCGUGAACUGGAUUGUUGAAAUGCAUGUAAGCAACACUUGUAAACCGAUUUUAAUCUAGAACUGAAAAUCUGAAUCUUUUUAAUUAAUUGACCAUAUAUUGCAGGCUGCGUAAUAUAAAAUAAGGUCAUGGUAAUUUUUCCAGCCACAGUUAGACUCCUCUACUUCGGUGAAUUCAGUACUUUUCAGAUUGUUCGCUUGAAGUAAAUUAAGAUCGUUCAAUUAAUUUUUACCAAUUGUUAAAUAAAUCGUAUGUUAUUGUACUAAACAACAAAAUACUGAGUUGAAUAGGGAACACAAUUGCGUUGAAUGAAAAGCUACUUAUUAGAAUUGCUUUUUCUGGAUGACUUAUGUCGUCACAGCACUGAUUUAACAAACAAAUAGAAAUGUGAAAGAUAACUUUAAUUUAUAAGAAGACUUGACGUUUUUACGUUCAAGAUGUUCUGAUGAUAUUAAAAUCAAACUGACCGUUCAGACAAUAUUGGUAAGUCAUGAAUAUUGUUUAGGUGUUUAUGAGAGUACAAAAUCUGCUUAGUAAAUAUUCGUUAAUUUUGUUACAUUCUGUUAGAAAUCAAUCUUGAAUUACACAAUACAUCGAUUUAUUAUACACGUUUAGUAUUUUUUACCAAUUGAUUAGAAUACUGAACCUGUAGAACAAAUAAUUAGUGCCAGUAAAAUUGGUGUAUAAUUGUUAGGGUUUGUGUUCGUUCAAAUUAGAAGAGCCACUUAACAUUUAUAUGCGUAACAAGGGAUUUAUUUAUUAUAUUACUUCAUCAGAAACAUUCAGAACCCAAAAAAUAAAGUUUUAAGUGUAAACACGUCCCGCGGUGUUUGGCCAAAUGUUUAGAAAAAGAAUUACCAAAUUUAUAAAAGGUUAAAUUUUCAUCACUGAGUCAGAACGAGAUUUCAUAUUAAAAUUUGAACAGAUUACAUGAUGUAAUAAAGGUUUAUUAUGCCAGUCAAAGCAAUGACUACCUAGUUGAUGAUACACACAGUGACUACCAUAUUAGUAUGGUAUAGUUGAGUUUUUGAAGAUACGAGUUCUAUAGUUAUAGUUUACCCUAGUAAACUUACAUAAUUAUUUUAUUACAAACAGUUAUAAUGGUUGUUUUCAAUGUUUGGAUAUAUCAUUUUUUCCCGGGAAAGCAUUAUACAACAACACACAAAUUGUGGAUUUCUCUUUGACAGUGAUAUUAAUUUGGCUUCUUAUUAGGGUGUAUUUAUUCAAUUGGCUCGCUUUGCUUGUGUUUAUGUUGAUAGUUUAGACUAAAGUGAGGGUUUUGAUGGAUGACAUUACCAAAUAUCCUUCGACAUUACGGAUUACAUGGACAACAAAUGUGUAGAUUGGAAAACACCGAUAUGUCAGUAUACAUUUAGGAAACUGUCAGAGUAUAUACGACAUUAUUUACCACAACUGGAACCUCAACAUUGUCGUCAUAACGAUUGUUAGUGAGUGACGUAGUCUCAGGUUAUAGUGAACACUUAAAGAACGUCAGAAGUCUAUGGACGAGAAAAUGAUGGCACGUAUCCCUCAAUAAUACGUUUUUAAUCUAAAAUCACACAAUCUAUACACCAAAUACUUAAUUCAUGUCUUUAAGAGUUAUGCUAAAUCAUUGCAAACACGAUGGAAUUAUUUUCACAAAAAAUUACAAAAGCUAAAAAUGAAGCAAAUAUGAUAUACAGCAACUAUCAACAACCACUUCAUUACAGGCUAAGCUUUUUUGACAUAUGAGUUUGAAUGUUCCUUGGUAUCUUUCGUCUCCCUUUUAACCGUCACAAAAACUUUACCACAUCAAUUGUGUGAUGCAAUAUAACCAUAGGCGGUGUCAUCAGGUGUGAAUUAUUGAAAAAUUUACCGAUCUAAUGUUCAUCACACAUUUUACAAUUUUAAUAAAAACAAAGGAGUAAUAAAUGCGUUGAUUUUCUUACGCUACACUUUACUGUCCUCGUUACUUUAUUGAAGUAUUAAGUACAUCGUCUCAUUAAGCAGAGUUUUAUUUAUAAUAGUUCUUUGGUACACAUACAGUACUACCUGUGACUUUAUCUUAUUAAUGGUGGCCAUAAAAAAUAUGUUCACCAUGGUGGCCCUAUAUGUCCCUGUUGCUUUUUUAAUACACAAGGUAUUAAUCAAAACCUAGUCAAGGAUAAAGGGAAAUCUUGAAUGCAUUGAAGUGUUAAAAUUAUAUAACUUACAGGUCAUGUGUCUCAGGUAAAAUAUACAUGUAUGUGUUUGUCAAAUUUAAUAACUGGGUUUAUGACAAGAAAUUCAAAAAUAAAAUGAAAUAAUAAAACUAGGUGAACAAACAGCUCAAAAAAAAUAAUUGUCUCAUGACUAUUAGUUUUAAUAUUAUACCUUUUAAAUAAUUUUUAAUCAAUUUAAGUUAUUUUUUAUAUUAAGUAUCAUUUUCAAAUAUAAUUGCACACAUUUGCAAUGCCUGCCUUUUCUAAUGAAAAAGUGUUUCUCAAAUUAAUUUUCUUAAAUCAAAAUUGUUUAUUAUUGUAGAUAGACUGAUCUGCAUUCAACAUUGUUCAACAUAUAUGUUUAAGAUUGUCUUUAGGACUUACGCUAAAUAAAAUUUAGGCAGUUAAUUAUUUCUCAAUAAAUAACAUAUAAAUAUUAGAAAUAUUCAUUACAGCAAAAUUUGAUAAUAUUUUUAUUGUCAUAUGAUAUCUUAAACAUGAUCCAUGUUUUAGAGGUUAAGCAUUUCUUUUACUUUUUGUUUUCGGGUAAGAGACAUUAUUAUGAGAAGGUAAAUAAUUUUCAUAUAGAUUAUCUCAAAGUUGUUUUGUUAAUUUUACAAUCAAGGAAUAGGUGUUUUCGUUGACCUACAAGAGACACUGUUUACAUAUUCUAUCCUUUCUAGGUAUUUUAUAUUGUCCAUUAUUUUCUAUUUCUAAAUUAUGACCAAAAAUUCUACCUAUUGACACAAUCAAGUUUACAGUUUUUAUCAUAAGUUUUUAUUCUUAGAUUUUUCUUUAAAUUCAUUUUUUAUUAAGGACUUUAAAAGUCUUAAUUCAUUCAAGUCCCUGCAAUUAUUAACUUUAUCUAAAAGGCCUAGGUUGAGUGAAAUAUUCUUUGCAAAUGUAUACCAAGAAUAUGUAUCAUGCCAGUCCAGCACUUUCAACAAUAUAAUACACUGAAAAAAAAAUAUGAUUUAAUUAAUAGACCAUAAAAGUGUCACCAUUUUUAGAAGUGCACAUUAUUUUUUCUGGAGACAAAUUUUGAAAGAAAUUAACCAAACUGAAAAUAACAUAUUUAAUAAAUUUCAAUUUCUUAAAAUAAUUUCAUUUCAUAAGAUUCACUUUAUUCAGAGAUAAGAACAUUUUUCAUUAUGAUUAGCAUUUUCAAGAGCAUUUAUCAAAAUUUUAUGAUAACUAGGUGGGCAUUUGGAAAAUAAGUCUUUUCAGUGAUUGUUUGUGCACAACUCUUGUUUUGAGAUUUGAAAAAAAUUGAGAUAAACAAAAUUAGUUUUUUUCCUAAACCAUAUAAUGAAACUUGUAGUUUUCCUGAAUAAUAUUAGAUGUUAUCAAAACUUAUUGUAAAAGGAUUGAUAUUGAUCAUCUUAUUUUGUUAAGAAACCGACUUGUUUAAUACUUUUAAAUUUAUUUUUUUUAAAUAUCAUUUGCAUGAUUAUUAGUUAUUAUUAAUAGUAAUAACUCAUUUAAUAAUGCUAACAAACAAUUGAAUACAAUGUACAUCAUGUACAUUUAUAUAAACUUUUACUUAAAUUUUUUUUUUAUUAAAAGUGUUUAUUUCAAAUACUAGUCAAUAACUUUAUCUUUGACUUUUUGCCAUUUCUACUCAAGAUUCUUACCAAGAAGAAAUUAAAAGAAUAAGAAACAAAAAAGUAAUGAAAAAAAAAAAAUAAAAUUUUUAAAUACAUGUAACAUUAAAACAAAAAAAACAAAUAAUAAAUUAAACAGACUAAAACAAUAUUUUAUUCUACAUAUUCAAAAAAAGGUGAAAUGUCAAUUUUAAAAGAAACCUGAGUUACCUGUACAGGUAAAUUUUAAUGAAACAUACCAGCUGAAAACUUCAACCCUGAUUGAUUUUAACAGGUAACAUAAUGAGAUAAAAAAUCUACCUAUGUUUUAUGACCCCCAAUAAAUGGCCAACAUCUCAAGAUUGAAUACCCCAAUAAAUGUUCACCAUUGGAUGUUGACCAUGCAAGAGGGUGGACAUAACUAAGAGGAUGUCACAGGCUGUACUGUAUCAUGUUGUAUGCCCUAGAAAAUAUAUCAUUGUGAAAAACUGUAACGAUUCCAGAUUUGUUUUUACCAAGAAUGACAUCAUCAUUUCAGCAGACAGUGGAUAUUCCAAUAUGUACUAAAAGUGCGUCACUACAAGUUGACACGGUUUUGUCUUCAAAUGAAUUAACAGUCAUGCAAAAUCAUCUUAAAAACAUGAAAAAAAGAAAAUUUCAAGGUUCUUGAAUGUCACCUUUACAUAUAUUGAUGAUGACCAGUAACUUCAUAAUAACCCACGUAUCAGUGCGUCCUUGUUUCAUGUUUACAAUAUAAUAUUAAGGGUGUAAUUAUCACCGGACGGUCUGCUCCAUAUCUACUUGAUCCUUUGGGUGUUGUUAAUAUGCUGACUGCGUAUCAAAGUAGAAUACACAACAUCUGCUUCAACUGAGAAAGAACGACUGAAAUCGACACUUUAAAAGUUUCAAGUUCACCUUCACGAAUUAGUUGCAUGAUACGAUAUGGAUGUGUCUCGACUCUCUUCCGAUAUGUUUUCGAUGUCUUAGAUGAUCAAAGUCGUAUAAUAUGUAAUUAUAGUGAUUGAAUGUUAUACCCAAUACAAAUUGCUUGACUGAUUACGGAUUCACAUGGUGAGUGAAUGAUGCAGAUCCUGUGACUUUGAUAUUGUCAAAGUUACCGGCCUCAUUUCUUUUAGAGUUUAUGCUAUUCCUUCAGUUAGUCUCAUCUUAAUUUUUAUUGAUAAUAUAUGAAAAAAUAAUGUUCAAAGAAAUACAUUGUGUCAUGGGAGCUGCUUUCAAUAGCUUAUGUAAAUAAAAUCAUCAUAGAUACCAGAAUUCAAAUUUGCGCCAGGCACACGUUUCGUCUACAGGAGACUCGUCAGAGACGCUCGAAUAAGAAAUGUUAAAAAGUAAAUAUAAAGUACAAAGUUGAAGAGCUUUAAGAACCAAAAAAUCUUCAAAGUUUUGCCAACUACAGCUUAGAUAAUCUAUUGUUUAAAGUAAAAAAAGCCUUUGUUUUUCAAACAUUCAAAGCUUUGUGAACAGUUUUAAAUUAUGACCAUAUCAAUGAUAAUUCAUGUCAACACAGAAGUGCUGACUACUGGGCUGAUUAUACCCUCGGUGGAAUGAAAACUCCACCAGCAGUGGCAUCGACCAAGUGGUUGUAAAUACAUUCAUCAUAAAACCAGUAUAGGUAUUUAAAAUAGAGGCGAAAGAUACAAAAGGGAUAUCAAAUAUAUACAGUCGAAAUAAAAUUGACAAAGUAAUUGAAAAAUACGAUCAACGAAAAAAAGACGAAACAUUUCACACAAAAUUUAAACACAAAAACUAAGGACUGAGCAACAUGAGCCCAAUCAAAAACUGAAAAUUAUCUAAGGUGCUAAACAAGAGUAUAAAGACCAUUAUCCACAUGGAGCACUGGUUGUGUUAUUCAACCUACCCCACCCUUACGGAAAUGUUAACAAAAAUCUUCUACGGCAAUACUUUUUUCACCACUAUGUGGCACUGUGAAGCUGAAUAGCUAAAGUUUAUUUGACAAAAAAUUCAGGGUGUGCUUCGGCUUAUUUUGUUUUAAAAUAAGUUCCAAAGUUUGGGUAGGACACCUUACCCCUAACUUACGGAAAUGUUAAUGAAAAUUGUUUUACGGCAAUACUUUUUUCGCCACUAGGUGCAAUGGGAAGCGGAAUAGUUAAGAUUUACUUUACAAUAAUUCAAGGGUGUGCUUCGGCUUAGUUUUUUUUUUAAAUUAAGUCCAAAGUUGGGGUCAGACACCCUACCCCACCCUUACGGAAAUGUUAAUUAAAAAUGUUCUACGGCAAAACUCUUUUCGAAACUAGGUGCAAUGGGAAGCUGAAUAGCUAAAGUGUACUUGACAAUAAAUUCAGGGUGUGCGUCGCCUUAGUUUUUUUUUUAAUAAGGUCCAAAUUUGGGUUCGGACACCCUACCCAUCCCUUACGGAAAUGUUACAAAAAAAAUGUUUUAUGGCAAUACUUUUUUCGCCAGCAGGUGCAAUGGGAAGCUGAAUCGCUAAAGUUUACAUGACAAAAAAUCCAGGGUGUGCAUCGGCUUAAUUUUUGUUUAUACUUUAGGUCCAAAGUUCGUGUCGGACACCUCUCCCCACCAUUACGGAAAAAUCAAUAAAAAAUAUUGAACGGCAAUACUUUUUUCGCCACUUGGUGCAAUGGGAAGCUGGAUAGCUAGGUUUACGUGACAAUAAAUCAAGGGUGUGCUUCGGCUUAGUUUAUUUUUUUAAUAAAGUCCAAAGUUGGGGUUUGGACACCCUAACCCACCCUUACGGAAAUGUAAAUAAAAAAGUUCUACGGCAAUACUUUUUUUUUGCCAGUAGGUGCAAUGGGAACCUGAAUAGCUACAGUUUACUUGACAAUAAAUUCGGGUGUGCUUCGGCUUUUUUUCUUUUUAAAUUAGUCCAAAGUUGGGGUCGGACACCCUACCUCACCCUUACAAUACUUUUUUCGCUACUAGGUGCAAUGGUAAGCUGAAUAGCUAAGGUUUACUUGACAAUAAAUUCAGGGUGUGCUUCGGCUUAGUUUUUUUUUAUUAAGGUCCAAAGUUGGGGUUGGACACCCUACCCUUCCCUUACGGAAUGUUAAUAAAAAAUGUUCUAUGGCAAUACUUUUUUCGCCAGUAGGUGUAAUGGGAAGCUGAAUAGCUAAGGUUUACUUGUCAUUUAUUCAAGGGGUGGGCUUCGGCUUAUUUUUUUUUAAAUCAGGUCCAAAGUUGGGGUCGGACACCCUACCCCACCCUUACAGAAAUGUCAAUAAAAAAUGUUCUACGGCAAUAAUUCUUUCGCCACUAAGUGAUAUGGAUAGCUGAAUAGCUAAAGUUUACUUGACAAAAAAUCCAGGGUGUGCUUUGGCUUCUUUUUUUAUAAAUUGGGUCCAAAGUUGGGGUCGGACACCUCUCCCCACCAUUACGGAAAUGUCAAUAAAAAAUAUUUUACGGAAAUACUUUUUUCGCCAUUUGGUGCAAUGGGAAGCUGGAUAGCUAAGGUUUACUUGACAAUAAAUCAAGGGUGUGAUUCGGCUUAGAUUUUUCUUUAAUUAGGUCCAAAGUUGGGGUCGGACACCUUACCCUACCCUUACGGAAAUGUAAAUAAAAAAUGUUUUACGGCAAUACUUUUUUCGCCACUAGGUGCAAUUGGAAGUUGAAUAGCUAAAGUUUACUAGACAAAAACUCCAGGGUGUGCUUCGGCUUAUUUUCUUUUUAAACUAAGUCCAAAGUUGGGGUCGGACACCCUACUCCACCCUUCCGGAAAUGUUAAUGAAAGAUGUUCUAGGGCAAUACUUUUUUCGUCACAUGGUGCAAUGGGAAGCUGAAUAGCUAAGGUUUACUUGACACUAAAUCCAAGGUGUGCUUGGCUUAUUUUUAUGAGAUAAAGCCUUUUUUUUCGAAAGGAUUGUUAAUAUAUGUGUUUGUCUUUUGUUUGCUUCUUGGUUUUUUUUGUAGUGGCAUUGUCGGUUCCUUUUAGACUUAUGAGUUUGAAUUUUCAUUUUGUAUCUUAUUCCUCUCUGUUUCGUUUCUGAUAAAUUGAUUUUUUUUUUAUUGUUUUAUCUUUCAAGUUUGUAAACCGCCGUGCAUCGUUUAAAUGACUUACCUCAAAUUUGGAACCUAUAAUCAUGUUGUCGACGAUAUAAGUAUCUGUAGAUAUUAACUGUUUAAUUU